CCACAGGCUAUGCAUCCUCCUGCAUUUCUGCAUAAUUCCGAGUCUUCAACAGUUCAAGCGACAGCUCCUCCAUCUGCCGAAGACUUAGAAUUAGCAAUGGCACUCAGUGCCUCCAUCCAGUCUGCCAUGGCAGAAUCACCAGUUAUUGAUACUCACUCAAGUGAAGCAAGUGCUUCCACCAGUCAAAGUGCUCCUCCUUCAAAAGCCACUAGCAAUUUGUGGGCGGCACAUGAAGCUGGCUCUAGUGGCAAUUCAGCUCAGCACCAUGUCCAGAAUAGUAACAUCCCUGCUGUGCAGACAGCAAUUCAUGCGCCUGAUUCAGUCCCAUCAGCUCUAUCCAUCAUAGAUGAGAGUGUAGAAGAUGGUCCAAUUCAUUAUCCAUCAAUUGAUUCUAGUCCAAUUGAUAUGUCUUCCCCACCUGUAGAGAAAUUGAUAGCUAGCACUGGCGAAAAGAAAGAAGAUGGUGGUUCUUCAUCUUGUGUUAUAUGUUUGGAUGCUCCAAUUGAGGGG
rnacentral:misc_RNA from 1 species